UACGGAGGAUGCGAGCGUUAUCCGGAUUCACUGGGUGUAAAGGGAGCGUAGACGGCCAAGCAAGCCAGGGGUGAAAGCCCGGGGCCCAACCCCGGGACUGCCCUUGGAACUGCAUGGCUGGAGUGCGGGAGGGGCAGGCGGAAUUCCUGGUGUAGCGGUGAAAUGCGUAGAUAUCAGGAGGAACACCGGCGGCGAAGGCGGCCUGCUGGAUCGCGACUGACGUUGAGGCUCGAAAGCGUGGGGAGCGAACAGG
rnacentral:rRNA from 1 species